rnacentral:rRNA from 1 species
GAUGAACGCUGGCGGCGUGCCUAAUACAUGCAAGUCGAGCGAACGGACGAUAAGCUUGCUUCUUUGAUGUUAGCCGCGGACGUGUGAGUAACACGUUGAUAACCUACUUAUCUGACUGGGAUCACUUCGGGACUCCUGAGCUAAUACCGGAUAAUCUUUUGAUCCGCAUUGUUCCAAAGUGAAUGACGGUCUUGUUGUCUCUUAUAGCUGGAUCCGCGCUGCAUUAGCUAGUAGGUAAGGUAACGGCUUACCAAGGCAACGAUGCAUAGCCGACCUGAGAGGGUGAUCGCCCACACUGGAACUGAGACACGGUCCAGACUCCUACGGGAGGCAGCAGUAGGGAAUCUUCCGCAAUGGGCGAAAGCCGGACGGAGUAACGCCGCGUGAGUGAUGAAGUUCUUCGGAUCGUAAAACUCGGUUAUUAGGGAAAAACAGAUGUGUAAGGAACUGUGCACAUCGUGACGGUACCUAAUCAGAAAGCCACGGCUAACUACGUG